CAAUACAGUGCAUGGAUCGGAUUGAUUCCCAGCCUAAAUAGUGUCCCGGCUUCACGGUCAGAAUGACUUAUCCUUCCAGUUAAAUGUGAGGCAUGCAUUCAACAUGACAAGAUGGCCGUCAAUGAUUGGUCCUUAAUUAAUACAAAUAGAAUUACUAUGGUCCAACACCCCCAUAAGGCUCUAUCCAGUCUCAACUUGUUUCUCAACACUUGGUUAUCCACCUUGACAGCAAACAUAUUUCCAACCAUUUUGAUGUCCACCUA
rnacentral:lncRNA from 1 species